rnacentral:piRNA from 1 species
CUCACUUACAAUGCGUGUCAGC